AGCUUGCUACCUGACCUAGCGGCGGACGGGUGAGUAAUGCUUAGGAAUCUGCCUAUUAGUGGGGGACAACAUUCCGAAAGGAAUGCUAAUACCGCAUACGCCCUACGGGGGAAAGCAGGGGAUCUUCGGACCUUGCGCUAAUAGAUGAGCCUAAGUCAGAUUAGCUAGUUGGUGGGGUAAAGGCCUACCAAGGCGACGAUCUGUAGCGGGUCUGAGAGGAUGAUCCGCCACACUGGGACUGAGACACGGCCCAGACUCCUACGGGAGGCAGCAGUGGGGAAUAUUGGACAAUGUGCGAAAGCCUGAUCCAGCCAUGCCGCGUGUGUGAAGAAGGCCUUUUGGUUGUAAAGCACUUUAAGCGAGGAGGAGGCUACUUAGAUUAAUACUCUAGGAUAGUGGACGUUACUCGCAGAAUAAGCACCGGCUAACUCUGUGCCAGCAGCCGCGGUAAUACAGAGGGUGCGAGCGUUAAUCGGAUUUACUGGGCGUAAAGCGUGCGUAGGCGGCUUCUUAAGUCGGAUGUGAAAUCCCUGAGCUUAACUUAGGAAUUGCAUUCGAUACUGGGAAGCUAGAGUAUGGGAGAGGAUGGUAGAAUUCCAGGUGUAGCGGUGAAAUGCGUAGAGAUCUGGAGGAAUACCGAUGGCGAAGGCAGCCAUCUGGCCUAAUACUGACGCUGAGGUACGAAAGCAUGGGGAGCAAACAGGAUUAGAUACCCUGGUAGUCCAUGCCGUAAACGAUGUCUACUAGCUGUUGGGGCCUUUGAGGCUUUAGUGGCGCAGCUAACGCGAUAAGUAGACCGCCUGGGGAGUACGGUCGCAAGACUAAAACUCAAAUGAAUUGACGGGGGCCCGCACAAGCGGUGGAGCAUGUGGUUUAAUUCGAUGCAACGCGAAGAACCUUACCUGGUCUUGACAUAGUAAGAACUUUCCAGAGAUGGAUUGGUGCCUUCGGGAACUUACAUACAGGUGCUGCAUGGCUGUCGUCAGCUCGUGUCGUGAGAUGUUGGGUUAAGUCCCGCAACGAGCGCAACCCUUUUCCUUAUUUGCCAGCGGGUUAAGCCGGGAACUUUAAGGAUACUGCCAGUGACAAACUGGAGGAAGGCGGGGACGACGUCAAGUCAUCAUGGCCCUUACGACCAGGGCUACACACGUGCUACAAUGGUCGGUACAAAGGGUUGCUACCUAGCGAUAGGAUGCUAAUCUCAAAAAGCCGAUCGUAGUCCGGAUUGGAGUCUGCAACUC
rnacentral:rRNA from 1 species